rnacentral:piRNA from 1 species
UGUAUGUGUGGAAGGAGCAGGUGAUG